GACGAACGCUGGCGGCGUGCUUAACACAUGCAAGUCGAACGGAAAGGCCCUGCUUGCAGGGUACUCGAGUGGCGAACGGGUGAGUAACACGUGGGUGAUCUGCCCUGCACUUCGGGAUAAGCCUGGGAAACUGGGUCCAAUACCGGAUAGGAGCCAUUUUUCGUGUGAUGGUUGGAAAGUUUUUUCGGUGUAGGAUGAGCUCGCGGCCUAUCAGCUUGUUGGUGGGGUAAUGGCCUACCAAGGCGGCGACGGGUAGCCGGCCUGAGAGGGUGGACGGCCACAUUGGGACUGAGAUACGGCCCAGACUCCUACGGGAGGCAGCAGUGGGGAAUAUUGCACAAUGGGCGCAAGCCUGAUGCAGCGACGCCGCGUGGGGGAGGACGGCCUUCGGGUUGUAAACUCCUUUCGCUAGGGACGAAGCUUUUUGUGACGGUACCUAGAUAAGAAGCACCGGCUAACUACGUG
rnacentral:rRNA from 1 species